rnacentral:lncRNA from 1 species
CACGCCAGAUGUUGACUCAACUAUAUACUCCGAAUAUUUUGUAGGAAAAUUCGGAUCACGAGCUAAAAGAUCAUGUAGCUUUCGUUGUUUUGUUGUUCCGUUGUUAUCUUCUUGUAAAUAUCCUCGGCAGAUUCCUCAAGGGGCCUAAUCUUUGCCAUUUGGUGGAGGGUCUCUUCAGGCAACCUAGAUUGUAAGAAGUAGUAGACAUGGAGGAGCAUUUGUAGAUGCCUAAUAAGGAACCCUAUUGGAACAUUCAAGCACAUAAGAUCACACACCACAUCACGCCAUACCAAAAUGUCAUCUAACACAAAGUUGGACAUGAGUGUCUUAUCCAUGCUAUAAAGAACAAGCCCAAGCCUCUCAAAUAUCAUGUCAAGACCCACCCCGAAUUUCAACCUGAAACCCGAAGUAAAUCUUGCGGGGACCACCUCUAAGAAAAAUUUACCGAAAAUUCGGCAUAACCUCCCUUGAAAAUGGGCAUACACUUCUGAAAAUCCAAAUCCAACCUUAAACUCCUGGAGCCUUCAUGCUCCCCAAAUCACAACAUCUCCGAAUUUAUUUACUAACUUUAAAAAGAAAAUCUCACAACCAACAACCACAGUUCAAAGCAACUCUAUUUGAGAGGAAAUGAACUAGAACUAUAAAAAUGAGCAGAAGCUAUAUUAUUGACUCUGCCUCUUCUCCAUGUACGCCCGACCUCAACUAUGCUAACUUGCAUACUGGGCAUUUUUAAAACGAACGGCACAGGGAAAAACAUUUGCAAACGUUAGAGUGAGUGGACAAAAAUAAAUUUAACAGAAAUAAUUAAUGCUUUCCCAAAUUAAAUUUCCAAAGAAAUCGAAUGCAUGCCUCAAACGAUAAAACUUUCAUCUCUUAAAUAUUGAGCCUCUCAAACUCAAUAAUAUAAAUCCAACAAUAUAUAUGUUUGUAUCUACACACAUCCAUACUCCUUGUAUGAAUUCUAUGAAGGAAUAUAAGAAAUAUAGGAAUUCAUACAAGGCUACUACGUUUGCGUCUAACGCUCACGUCACGCCUUAAUGCGGUGUUACACUACGCCAUUAAGGUGGACGGACGAGUGUAUAAAUAUGUGCCCAUACCCCCUAUAUGAAUUAGACACUCAACGCUCGCGUCUAACGCUCACGUCACACCAUAAUACGGUUAUAUACUACGCCAUUAAGGUGGACAGACACAUAUGGCUAGCUAGUAUUUAUAUACAUACUCUCCUCAUAAAUAUAUUUAGAUUCACCGAAAAAAUCAUAUUUUCAGUAACUCUCCAAAAUAAAUAAAAUCGUCAAAUUAAAAUGACGUCAAAUGCUCCAACAAAAGAAAUUGCUCAACAAUAAACCAUUGCAUGCAUAUUAUUUAAAACAAAAGUCCACUCACAACUUUAGGCAUAAGCCCAACGAAAUCUAAUUCGCCACUCAAGUGAGGUCUCCUAGAAUCCUGGCACAAUAACCAUACUUAGGACCAAACUUCAUUUUCAGAAAAAAAAAAAAAAAAAAAAAACUUAAAUAAAUAACCCAAAACUCUUCCACGUAAUCCACUACCCUUUCUAGGGUUAAGCUUAUUGGAUUCACGCUAAACUCCAACCAGCCUCAAUUUAUUUAUUUCAACAUUCUAAAACAAUAAUAAGGAAAAUCCAACGGUCGGAUUCUACCCCAUUAACCGCUAAAUUCACCCAUCUUUCAAAAAUCCAAAACCUAUUCAAAACUCCUCCAAAAAUUCCAAACUUCAUACCAUUAAACUCCCCUUAAAAUUACACACUUAAAACCAUGAAAAUCCCCCUAACAGUGGCGGCGUAGCCGUCUGCUCCGCCGGCAGCGGCGGCCGGAAGCCGACUCCGAAUACCUCCAAUGCCUUCCAAAAUUUGACAGCAUCUUCCUCUCAACUCACUCUACAACUUUCCUAACUAGCACAAACACCAAUUCCAAGCCUAACUAGGCCAAUCGAACGAAAACAUUCUAAAAAACCCUAGAACUUCCACUCACCGAUUCUCUUCAUCUGAAGCAAACUGGAUUGAGUCCUUUUAGGGCAAGGCUACUGGGUUGGAGACCUUCAAAACCAUAUAAGGCUUGCCUGGAUUGGUGGUCGGAGGAGGGAAUUUCGGCGACGAAGAGCUAUGGCAGUCGGACCUUUCGGGCGUGCUUACUCCCACACGGCGGUGCUAGGGUGGCUCUCACCGGUCUAAGAAGAAGGCUGGGUCGACGGCCGAUCGUUUGGGACCGGAGCGACGGCCUACGAUGGCUGGACGGCGACGGACUGCUACUUGGAUUCCGGCAGGGAGAGGGAGCUCGGGGGAGAAGAGAGAGAGAGUGGAGAAAGUGUUUGGGCUUUCUCACUCCACUUUGACCUAGUCCACUCUUAAAAACCCACUCCAAAAUAAAUAACACACUCCCAACAACAACCCAAAAAUAAUACCCUAAUAAAAAUUACAUUUGUACCAGCUAAAAUUACCCUUUUUACCAUCUUCAAAUAUUUCUCCUACAAAUAAUUUCUUCGAAAUAAUCGUCCCUCAAAACAUCUCUAGGGACCUUUGAGAUUAUAAACUCAUUGACGAAUACGGUAAAACUCUUAUUAAUACCAAGCUAGUAAAUAAGGUAAAAAUUUAAGAGUCGGGAUGUGACAUAUCAUGCUCUUGGUAACACACAUGUUAUAUGCCGUAACUAACAUAUACUAUUAUACUUAUUCUCUUUGAAUCCUACGCAUGGAAUGAGACUCAUUUUCUCAAAUUGCAUAUUUAGUCCCUCCACGCAUCCAUGACACUUUUCUCAAAUUGCAUCUUUAGUCCCUCCGUGACAUGACAAUUUUCUAAAAUUGCAUCUUUAGCCCCUCCAUGCAUCAUGAUAAUUUUCUCAAAUUACAUCUUUAGUCUCUCCGUGCCAUGACAAUUUUCUUAAAUUGCAUCUUUAAUCCCCCAUGCAUCAUGACAUUUUUCUCAAAUUGCAUCUUUCGUCCCUCAUGUGCCAUGCAUGCAUGACAAUUUUCUCAAAUUGCAUCUUUUGUCCCUCCAUGCAUCCAUGACAACCUUCAUGCAUCAUGACAUUUUUCUCAAAUUGCAUCUUUAGUCCCUCAUGUGCCAUGCAUGCAUGACAAUUUUCUCAAAUUGCAUCUUUUGUCCCUCCAUGCAUCCAUGACAACCUUCAUGCAUCCCGACACUUUUCUCAAAUUGCAUAUUUCGUCCCUCCAUGCAUCAUGACACUUUUCUCAAAUUGCAUCUUUAGUCCCUCCAUGUAUCAUGACACUAAUUGAAAAUUUAGUCCCUCCAUGCAACAUGACACUUUUCUCAAAUUGCAUCUUUAGUCCCUUCCCAACGUGAUCCUCCCUGUAUACAUGGAACAACUAUGUAUCUGUAUGUGUUUGAUUGUUCCAAGGUGAUCCUUAAUUAUAGGACUUGGAUCACCUUGAAAUUUUAUAAAUCUUAAACCCUCUAAUAUAUGUUGUCCUCUCUGAUUUUUGCAAGAAAUCCUAUAUCGCUAAUCUUCCAUCUUUUCUAUCUAUUCAGUUUCCUAACACUCCUACUAUCUAAACUCUAAAGUCCAAAAUCUCAUCACCACAAUCAACCUUUUUCCUACUUCAAUACAAAGGCCC